AUAUAAGCUGUUUACAGGUAAGAUAAAGGACUAAUACAAUGAAUUUUAUGUCUUUGGUGUCCAAAUAACCAAAGCAUAAUUUCACUUCUAACCAUUCAAUAAUUAUGCACACAAGGAUGAAUGAUAGUCCAUUGGUUAUCUUGUCUUAUUUGGAUGAUGUAGGGAAUAUUUAUGAAUUUAAUCUCAUUUUUGCGGCCUAUUUGAUACCUUGUAAAAAUAGCAUUUUUCUUGUUGAAGUUUGUUGUGGUUUUGAAUUAAGGACAUCCAUGUGUACCAGUAAACUCUAUUUGUUUCCCAUUUUCUUGGUACCCUAGAUGAUGGGCCCUGACAAGCUCUGAGUCAAUAAUAUAGUGCCCCUUUUGGAAUAUAAACAGGAAGCCCGCACACGCACCACCCACCACCCACCACCCACACCACCCACCACACCCCCCACCCCUCCCCGCCCCUGUGUUAUUGUUUGCUUUUAUCUUUGU
rnacentral:misc_RNA from 1 species